GACGAACCGUGCGAACGUUGUUCGGAUUCACUGGGCGUAAAGGGUGCGUAGGCGGUCGGGUAAGUCUGGCGUGAAAUCUCCAAGCCUAACUUGGAACUGCGUUGGAUACUAUCCGGCUCGAGGAAUGGAGGGGAGACUGGAAUACUUGGUGUAGCAGUGAAAUGCGUAGAUAUCAAGUGGAACACCAGUGGCGAAGGCGAGUCUCUGGACAUUUCCUGACGCUGAGGCACGAAAGCCAGGGAGCAAACGGG
rnacentral:rRNA from 1 species